AACGAACGCUGGCGGCAUGCCUAACACAUGCAAGUCGAACGAGACCUUCGGGUCUAGUGGCGCACGGGUGCGUAACGCGUGGGAACCUGCCCUUAGGUUCGGAAUAACUCCCCGAAAGGGGUGCUAAUACCGGAUAAUGUCUUCGGACCAAAGAUUUAUCGCCUUUGGAUGGGCCCGCGUUGGAUUAGCUAGUUGGUAGGGUAAAAGCCUACCAAGGCGACGAUCCAUAGCUGGUCUGAGAGGAUGAUCAGCCACACUGGGACUGAGACACGGCCCAGACUCCUACGGGAGGCAGCAGGGGGGAAUAUUGGACAAGGGGCGAAAGCCUGAUCCAGCAAUGCCGGGUGAGUGAUGAAGGCCUUAGGGUUGUAAAGCUCUUUUACCCGGGACGAUAAGGACAGUACCGGGAGAAUAAACCCCGGCUAACCCCGU
rnacentral:rRNA from 1 species